rnacentral:rRNA from 1 species
GAUGAACGCUGGCGGCGUGCCUAAUACAUGCAAGUCGAACGCAUAGCGAAAGGUGCUUGCACCUUUCAAGUGAGUGGCGAACGGGUGAGUAACACGUGGACAACCUGCCUCAAGGCUGGGGAUAACAUUUGGAAACGGAUGCUAAUACCGAAUAAAACUUAGUGCCGCAUGACACAAAGUUAAAAGGCGCUUCGGCGUCACCUAGAGAUGGUUCCGCGGUGCAUUAGUUGGUUGGGGGGUUAAAGGCCUACCAAGACAAUGAUGCAUAGCCGAGUUGAGAGACUGAUCGGCCACAUUGGGACUGAGACACGGCCCAAACUCCUACGGGAGGCUGCAGUAGGGAAUCUUCCACAAUGGGCGAAAGCCUGAUGGAGCAACGCCGCGUGUGUGAUGAAGGCUUUCGGGUCGUAAAGCACUGUUGUAUGGGAAGAACAGCUAGAAUAGGAAAUGAUUUUAGUUUGACGGUACCAUACCAGAAAGGGACGGCUAAAUACGUG